UUCUAUGGCCAUACCACCCUAAACACAGCCGUCUCAUCUGACCUCAGAAGCCAAGCAGGGUCAAGCCUAGUUAGUACCUGGAUGGGAGAGAUGCGAAUUCUCCUCCCUUGCAUGGUGCUUGCUGACACAAAAG
rnacentral:rRNA from 1 species